CCCCCCCCCCCCCCCCCCACCCCUCACCUCCCUGCAGAGGGACAGACGUUCCGCUCCCUUGACAGUUUGCAGUAGAGAGUGUUGGAGCAUCGCGAGUGAGUGUCAGCGCGAGAGAGUCGUCCCCAAGCGCUGAUUUACAGUCGAUGGAGGACAGCUGAGCCCGGGGAUCCAUUCCCCUCCCUGGAAGGUACCACUCCCUCCCCGUGACGGCUAUUAAAAGCUGCGCCCCUGGCCUUGUCCAAGCCAGUCCACCACAGAAUGUCAAUAUUUCAAUGCACGUUAGAGCAGAAACUUAAAAAAAUAAAUAAAAUGGGAGUCUAUUAGCUCUCUUUAACAUUUGAUGCAAAGGUCAAAGCGACAUGGCAGCCAGGAGUGGAGGAGGUGACGAAAAGAUGGAUAAUGGCAUGGUACUGCUAUUUUUGGAAGAGAGAGGUUCUGAUUGCACGAGGGCACGGUGGAAGCAAGCCGCGAGCUUGUGGACACGUUGUCAACGUGUCAAUCACCCGCUGCGAACAUGAUUCAGCGACUGGAUUUGAAACGGACCAUCAUUCACCGAAUGAACAUCAUGCCGCAUUGAAGAAGACUUGAAACUGGAGAGACCGGGGCCGUGGACUCCGUAGCGCUCACAGUGUUUGCUGAGGGAAUAAAUCAAGAGAGAAGUAGAGUCAUUUCCUCAUAGACGUCUAUGGGAGCGGAGGAGUCGCCCCCUGGUGGACACCGGAGACGCCGCGUUUGUCCCUCUCCACCACGAAGACACCGGGUGAGCCGUGACCCUGGUUGUCCUUCACGGACAGUUUAUUUUGAGCCGACCCGACACACGCUGCCCCGCAACCAGAGCGCAGAACCCCUGAAAAAUAAUCACCCCCUCGAAUAUGCGGCUUUCCCUCCCGUUUGAGUCAAAAGCUCACAAAUAAAAAAAAGUCUGUUCUAGUGGAACAUAUUAAAAAAUGCAGAGUAACAAAACAUUUCCGAACUUGAUCCAUGCAUCCUAUAAACAUAUUUAGUUUCAGGGAACAGCUUCGGGUCUCCUUGUUGGCCCCUCUGGAAGCUGACCCGCUGGCUCGGCACUCGUGACGAAGCCCUUUUCCACACGAGGACGGGUUGAAGCUUAGAGGGUCGAAGCACUGUGCGUAGCUUUGGAAAACCUCUUUGUCCUGGAGCUGGAGAACAGGAGCUGCGGAGGGUCGCAGGGUCGGAGCCCCAGGCGCAGGAGAGGAGCAAAUUAAACGAUUCCAGCUUUGUGCGGUAGAAGAAAGAAGAGUUUUGGACCUUUAUUCUCAGGAACCAUUGCUCUUUAUUCAGGUGCAACUGGUGUGCAGCAGAGCUAUGGGCCAGAAGGACGGACGUGGCUCUUGGAGAGGUAACCUCACGUUCACGGCUGACUUUGCUGCCCUUCAAACUGUGCGACUCGGCAUUUCGCCGUCUUCCCCUGUGCUCCAGCUUCGACCUGCGUUGCUUGGCGACGGCGCCGCCGGAGCGGCGGCCGCUGGCGGCGAC